AACGCAUAUUGCGCCCUCUGGUAUUCCGGAGGGCAUGCCUGUCCGAGCGUCAUUGCUACCCUCAAGCGCAGCUUGUUUGUUGAGCCCGAUUGUCCCUUAAUGGACAGGCUCGAAAUGCAGUGGCGAUGCCGAGUUUGGUGCCCGAGUGUAUGGAGCUUUGUCACACGCUUUGGUGGCCCAGCCGGCAUUUGUCUUUAUUUCCCCAAAAUUUGACCUCGGAUCAGGUAGGGAUACCCGCUGAACUUAA
rnacentral:misc_RNA from 1 species